rnacentral:rRNA from 1 species
UACAGAGGUCUCAAGCGUUGUUCGGAUUCAUUGGGCGUAAAGGGUGCGUAGGCGGCGCGGUAAGUCGGGUGUGAAAUCUCGGAGCUUAACUCCGAAACUGCAUUCGAUACUGCCGUGCUUGAGGACUGGAGAGGAGACUGGAAUUUACGGUGUAGCGGUGAAAUGCGUAGAUAUCGUAAGGAAGACCAGUGGCGAAGGCGGGUCUCUGGGACGUUACUGACGCUGAGACGCGAAAGCGUGGGGAGCAAACAGG